CUGAGCUUGUACGAAUGUCUGCUUGGUGACUCUUGACGUCUGAGGGCCCUAAACCCCACCCUCAGAAUGUGCUAAUGCCUCCAUUUUAUGAACACACAUCCUACGAAGAAGGCUGUAGCUUAGUGGCACCCACGCAGAACGACCAUUAGUUCUUUUUCUCAUUUCCAGUCACCUUUCCCCACGCUCACCUGGCCUUAGUUUUAUCCUAAAAAUACCACUCGCCCCUUGCUGUAGGGGAGGUGGGUUUGAAAUUUGUUCUUCCAUUUUCUUAUUUGGCUCCCUCGUGAAUAAGCCUUUCCUCUGUUGCAAAACUUAGCGUCUCAGCAUUUGGCAUGCUGCAUAUCGGGGAACAAACCUGGUUUGGAAAGAAGAGGAUGUCGCACGUGUGCUGGGUCUUCCGCAGGGGAGCGUGCCCCGGAACAGAGACUUGAAGCUCUAAGUGUGGUAACAUCCUCCUACCACUACUAGUCUACAGCUCCUUCGGUGUUCCUUGCUGGAUAAUUCUUCUCACACUUUUUAGAUGAGUGAAUAUACAUAAAGCAUUCUCUGCCUGCCCCACG